rnacentral:lncRNA from 1 species
CUCAUAAGGCAAAACUGAAUGGCCCAAGUAGAUGAAUACCGAGACACAAUGGAAAGAACCCGGAAAUGAGUCGGUGGUGAUACAAGAAAAGGUGUGACCGCCGAGAAAAUGUCUGCCCGCCGUCGCCAUUCCGGUGUGUAAUCCUUUCUUCGACACACAAAGAGUGAGAAAUGCCAUUUCGCUGGGGACUCACAGGUGAGUUGGACUGGCCAGUGUGCCUGCAUCCUUCUGGGCUGUGGCCUGCAUGCCAGGUAGUGCAGAGUGUUGAGCCAUCUGCCUGCUUCAAGCUCAGAACACGGAGACAAGGAGAGACCUGUAAUGGGAUCCAAUGCCUUCUUCUGGUGUGCCUGAAGACAGCGACGAUGUACUUAUAUACAUAAAAUAAAUAAUUUUUUAAAAAGAAAGUCUAGCCUAAACCAUUCCUAUUGCUUGGAGCUGAACUGCAUCCUUCUGCCACUGGUGCAACAAGAAAUGUCGUCCCCCACGCCUCACCCCCGCUGGUGCGACAUAGAAUGUUUCCCCCCACAUUUGUCCUCUCUCACAUUUCCAUUUUUAAGAAAUACACUUAUGCUCAGUAUACGACUUGACGGAUUUGGAUGAGUGUGUAAAUCCUCGUAACUGACUCCCAGUCAGGACUGUUUCCAGCAGCCCAAAGAGUCCCCCUGUGUCUCUUGCUAAGCAUGUGUGACUGCCCACGUUUCUAGUGUGCUAGCUUAGCUUUGCUGGGUCUGUGGCUUCACGUGACCACGAGAACCUUUGACUCCUCUACGCUGCUGUUCCGCUCGCUCCUCCUUGGUGCUGGGUAUCUAUCGUGUUUGUCAUGUGCUACAGCUUGCUUACUCAUUCUCCUCUGUAUGGGACUUGGGUUGUUCCCAAGCUUUGAGUAUUGAGAAUAAAACAGCUAUGAACGUUUGUUUCGCC